ensembl:lncRNA
CCCCUGUAUAUAGCCUCCACAUUGACUCUGUACCGGUACCCCCUGUAUAUAGCCUCCACAUUGACUCUGUACCGAUACCCCCUGUAUAUAGCCUCCACAUUGACUCUGUACCGUAACCCCCUGUAUAUAGCCUCCACAUUGACUCUGUACCGGUACCCCCUGUAUAUAGUCUCCACAUUGACUCUGUACCAGUACCCCCUGUAUAUAGCCUCCACAUUGACUCUGUACCGGUACCCCCUGUAUAUAGCCUCCACAUUGACUCUGUACCGGUACCCCCUGUA